AUAAAUUUUCUGAGCCUACUUGCCACAUGGAUAAACAUAAAGGCAAAAAUACAAAAAAGAAGAUAAAGGAAUGUAAAAAACAGAAUCCAAAACCUGAUGAAAUGGUAGAACAAACCACCAGACAAAAACUACCUCGAAGAGCAGCAUUAGCAAAAAAUUACAAAGAGCCUUCCAGUUCUGAGUCAGAGAGUGAAAGAAAAUCUCCAGCAUGCACCUUUAAGGAGGAGAAAUCAAAAAUACAGAAACAUAUGAAUUGGGAAAACCGGGAUGAUAAUCAGCAAAAGGAACUCCAGACUGUUGUAUCUAUGGAGCCAAAAAGAGUAGCUAACUAUGUACAUAAAGUAUUUAUUAAAACAAAGAAUUCUGCAGAACAAAAGGAAAUUGAAACUCCUUC
rnacentral:lncRNA from 1 species